rnacentral:RNase_P_RNA from 1 species
AAUUUCGGGCAAUCGCGGUCUAGCUUGACUAGGCUGAGGAAAGUCCAUGCUCGCACAAACUGAGAUGUUUGUAGUGUUCGUGCUUAGCGAAAUCAUAAGCUAAGGCCUCCAACUUAUGUUGGAGUGACGGCAGAAAAAAAGGCUAAGGCGGAAACGCUAUGCCUGAGUAUUCUUGAAAGUGCCACAGUGACGAAGCAAUAUUGGAAACAAUAUUGGUGGAACGGGUAAACCCCUCGAGCGAGCAACCCAAACUUUGGUAGGGGCACUCUUUCUAUGGAAAUGAACAGAUGAAAGAGGCAAUUUUUUGCAGACAGAUGAUUGCCUCCGGAUAAUUCGAGCCUGAAGAUUAUCCGAGACAGAACAUGGCUUACAGAA